AACGAACGCUGGCGGCAUGCCUAACACAUGCAAGUCGAACGAGACCUUCGGGUCUAGUGGCGCACGGGUGCGUAACGCGUGGGAACCUGCCCUUAGGUUCGGAAUAACUCCCCGAAAGGGGUGCUAAUACCGGAUAAUGUCUUCGGACCAAAGAUUUAUCGCCUUUGGAUGGGCCCGCGUUGGAUUAGCUAGUUGGUAGGGUAAAAGCCUACCAAGGCGACGAUCCAUAGCUGGUCUGAGAGGAUGAUCAGCCACACUGGGACUGAGACACGGCCCAGACUAGUACGGGAGGCAGCAGUGGGGAAUAUUGGAAGAUGGGCGAAAGCCUGAUCCAGCAAUGCCGCGUGAGUGAUGAAGGCGUUAGGGUUGUAAAGCUCUUUUACCCGGGAAGAUAAUGACAGUACCGGGAGAAUAAGCACCGGCUAACUCCGUG
rnacentral:rRNA from 1 species